rnacentral:sRNA from 1 species
AUGGCUGUCGUCAGCUCGUGUCGUGAGACGUUGGGUUAAGUCCCGCAACGAGCGCAACCCUUGUCCUUAGUUGCCAUCAUUUAGUUGGGAACUCUAAGGAGACCGCCGGUGACAAACCGGAGGAAGGUGGGGAUGACGUCAAGUCAUCAUGGCCCUUAUGACCAGGGCUACACACGUGCUACAAUGGUAGGUACAAAGGGUCGCGAAGCCGCAAGGUGGAGCCAAUCCCAUAAAGCCUAUCGUAGUCCGGAUCGGAGUCUGCAACUCGACUCCGUGAAGUCGGAAUCGCUAGUAAUCGUAGAUCAGCAUUGCUACGGUGAAUACGUUCCCGGGUCUUGUACACACCGCCCGUCACACCAUGGGAGUUGAUUGCACCAGAAGCAGGUAGCCUAACCGCAAGGGGGGCGCCUACCACGGUGUGUUCAAUGACUGGGGUGAAGUCGUAACAAGGUAGCCGUACGGGAACGUGCGGCUGGAUCACCUCCUUUAAAGAGACAGCGCCAAAGAACGUUUUGCCGCGAGCCUCCCUUCACAAGUUACUUAUUCUUAUGUUUAGUUGGUUGGGCCCACUUAUGGGCAAGUCCGACGCAUGGCCCGCGGGUCUGUAGCUCAGUUGGUUAGAGCGCACCCCUGAUAAGGGUGAGGUCGGAGGUUCAACUCCUCCCAGACCCACCAAAUCAGCCUCGUGGGUCGGCGGCGUCCAGCAGCUCUGUUCCGCGCACAUGAAGAUCAAGCGGAAGGGGCCAUAGCUCAGCUGGGAGAGCGUCUGGUUUGCAACCAGAAGGUCGCCGGUUCGAUCCCGGCUGGCUCCACCAAACCAACUUCGAUCACAGCGUGUCAUGAGUCAUGCGCGAAUCGUCCCUCGUUGCGGGGCGAUCGCAUGACUCAUGACAUGCGAGUCAUGAGACUCGUAUGUGUUCUUUAAAAAUUCGGCAAUUUGUUUUGAUGUCUGACUUGAGCGAAAGCUUAAGUUGGGUGUCGCAUUCGAGAACCAGUUGAUUGAGUGAUAUGACUCCAAAUCGCUUGGGGUUAUAUGGUCAAGUGAAUAAGCGCACAUGGUGGAUGCCUUGGCGACAGAAGGCGAUGAAGGACGUGGUAGCCUGCGAUAAGCUUCGGGGAGCCGGCAAAUAUGCUUCGAUCCGAAGAUUUCCGAAUGGGGAAACCCGG